rnacentral:rRNA from 1 species
CCUACGGGUGGCUGCAGUGAGGAAUAUUGGUCAAUGGCCGGAAGGCUGAACCAGCCAAGCCGCGUGAAGGACGAAGGUGCCAAGCAUUGUAAACUUCUUUUGUCAAGGGACAAAAUCAGGCUCGAGAGCCUGACCGAGGGUACUUGAAGAAAAAGCAUCGGCUAACUCCGUGCCAGCAGGCGCGGUAAUACAGAGGAUACGAGCGUUAUCCGGAUUUAUUGGGUUUAAGGGGUGCGUAGGCGGGCUGUUAAGUCAGCGGUAAAAGCACGGGGCUCAACCCCGGCGCGCCGUUGAAACUGGCGAUCUUGAGAUGGAGAGAGGUAAGCGGAAUGCCAAGUGAAGCGGUGAAAUGCGUAGAUAUAGGGCAGAACACCGAUGGCGAAGGCAGCAUACUGG